GCCCUGAGGGAUAGUUCAGUUGGUAGAGCUUGAGACUCUUAAUCUCGUGGUUGUGGGUUUGAGUCCCAUAUUGGGUA